UCGAGAAUCUUUCGCAAUGGGCGAAAGCCUGACGAAGCGACGCCGUGUGUGUGAUGAAGGCCCUCGGGUUGUAAAACACUUUCGCCUGGGAACAAGAGAAGCCGGCUAAUAUCCGGCGGAUUUGAGAGUAUCAGGUAAAGAAGUACCGGCUAACUACGUGCCAGCAGCUGCGGUAAUACGUAGGGUACAAGCAUUAAUCGGAUUUAUUGGGCGUAAAGGGCGCGUAGGCGGGAGUGCCAGUCAGAUGUGAAAUCCCGAGGCUCAACCUCGGAACAGCAUUUGAAACUACACUUCUAGAGGGUAGGCGGAGAAAACGGAAUUCCACAAGUAGCGGUGAAAUGCGUAGAUAUGUGGAAGAACACCGGUGGCGAAGGCGGUUUUCUAGCUUAUACCUGACGCUGAGGCGCGAAAGCAAGGGGAGCAAACAGGAUUAGAUACCCCCGUAGUCC
rnacentral:rRNA from 1 species